ensembl:miRNA microRNA 665
AGAUCAGGGUCUCCUUGAGGGGCCUCUGCCUCUGCCCAGGACUUUUUCAUGACCAGGAGGCUGAGGCCCCUCAUAGGCGGCCUCUUACUCU